UGGGGAAUCGUCUAACGGCAGGACUACGGAUUCUGAUUCCGUCAAUCAAGGUUCGAAUCCUUGUUCCCCAACCA
rnacentral:tRNA from 1 species